rnacentral:rRNA from 1 species
AUAAUGGGUCAGCGACUUAUAUUCUGUAGCAAGGUUAACCGAAUAGGGGAGCCGAAGGGAAACCGAGUCUUAACUGGGCGUUAAGUUGCAGGGUAUAGACCCGAAACCCGGUGAUCUAGCCAUGGGCAGGUUGAAGGUUGGGUAACACUAACUGGAGGACCGAACCGACUAAUGUUGAAAAAUUAGCGGAUGACUUGUGGCUGGGGGUGAAAGGCCAAUCAAACCGGGAGAUAGCUGGUUCUCCCCGAAAGCUAUUUAGGUAGCGCCUCGUGAAUUCAUCUCCGGGGGUAGAGCACUGUUUCGGCAAGGGGGUCAUCCCGACUUACCAACCCGAUGCAAACUGCGAAUACCGGAGAAUGUUAUCACGGGAGACACACGGCGGGUGCUAACGUCCGUCGUGAAGAGGGAAACAACCCAGACCGCCAGCUAAGGUCCCAAAGUCAUGGUUAAGUGGGAAACGAUGUGGGAAGGCCCAGACAGCCAGGAUGUUGGCUUAGAAGCAGCCAUCAUUUAAAGAAAGCGUAAUAGCUCACUGGUCGAGUCGGCCUGCGCGGAAGAUGUAACGGGGCUAAACCAUGCACCGAAGCUGCGGCAGCGACGCUGAUGCGUUGUUGGGUAGGGGAGCGUUCUGUAAGCCUGUGAAGGUGUACUGUGAGGUAUGCUGGAGGUAUCAGAAGUGCGAAUGCUGACAUAAGUAACGAUAAAGCGGGUGAAAAGCCCGCUCGCCGGAAGACCAAGGGUUCCUGUCCAACGUUAAUCGGGGCAGGGUGAGUCGACCCCUAAGGCGAGGCCGAAAGGCGUAGUCGAUGGGAAACAGGUUAAUAUUCCUGUACUUGGUGUUACUGCGAAGGGGGGACGGAGAAGGCUAUGUUGGCCGGGCGACGGUUGUCCCGGUUUAAGCGUAUAGGCUGGUUUUCCAGGCAAAUCCGGAAAAUCAAGGCUGAGGCGUGAUGACGAGGCACUACGGUGCUGAAGCAACAAAUGCCCUGCUUCCAGGAAAAGCCUCUAAGCAUCAGGUAACAUCAAAUCGUACCCCAAACCGACACAGGUGGUCAGGUAGAGAAUACCAAGGCGCUUGAGAGAACUCGGGUGAAGGAACUAGGCAAAAUGGUGCCGUAACUUCGGGAGAAGGCACGCUGAUAUGUAGGUGAAGUCCCUCGCGGAUGGAGCUGAAAUCAGUCGAAGAUACCAGCUGGCUGCAACUGUUUAUUAAAAACACAGCACUGUGCAAACACGAAAGUGGACGUAUACGGUGUGACGCCUGCCCGGUGCCGGAAGGUUAAUUGAUGGGGUCAGCGCAAGCGAAGCUCUUGAUCGAAGCCCCGGUAAACGGCGGCCGUAACUAUAACGGUCCUAAGGUAGCGAAAUUCCUUGUCGGGUAAGUUCCGACCUGCACGAAUGGCGUAAUGAUGGCCAGGCUGUCUCCACCCGAGACUCAGUGAAAUUGAACUCGCUGUGAAGAUGCAGUGUACCCGCGGCAAGACGGAAAGACCCCGUGAACCUUUACUAUAGCUUGACACUGAACAUUGAGCCUUGAUGUGUAGGAUAGGUGGGAGGCUUUGAAGUGUGGACGCCAGUCUGCAUGGAGCCGACCUUGAAAUACCACCCUUUAAUGUUUGAUGUUCUAACGUGGACCCGU